CAUCAUCGCUGGGCGAAGCCUGAGCAGCGACGCCGCGUGGGGGAAGAAGGCCUUAGGGUUGUAAACCUCUUUCAGGUGGGACGAAGCCACUCGGGUUAAUAGCCCAGAGGGUGACGGUACCGCCAGAAGAAGCCCCGGCUAACUACGUGCCAGCAGCCGCGGUAAUACGUAGGGGGCAAGCGUUGUCCGGAUUUAUUGGGCGUAAAGAGCGUAUAGGCGGCCAGGUAGGUGGGUUGUGAAAACUGGAGGCUCAACCUUCAGACGUCGACCCAAACCCCCUGGCUAGAGUCCGGAAGAGGAGAGUGGAAUUCCUGGUGUAGCGGUGGAAUGCGCAGAUAUCAGGAAGAACACCCGUGGCGAAGGCGGCUCUCUGGGACGGUACUGACGCUGAGACGCGA
rnacentral:rRNA from 1 species